GACGAACGCUGGUGGCGUGCUUAACACAUGCAAGUCGAACGCUGAAGCUCAGCUUUUGUUGGGUGGAUGAGUGGCGAACGGGUGAGUAACACGUGAGUAACCUGCCCCCUUCUUUGGGAUAACGCCCGGAAACGGGUGCUAAUACUGGAUAUUCACUGGUCUUCGCAUGGGGGUUGGUGGAAAGGGUUUUUCUGGUGGGGGAUGGGCUCGCGGCCUAUCAGCUUGGUGGUGGGGUGAUGGACUACCAAGGCUUUGACGGGUAGACGGCCUGAGAGGGUGAACUGUCACAUUGGUACGGAGAUAAGGCCUAGGCGCGGACGGGAGGCAGCAGUGGGGAAUAUUGCAGAAUGGGCGCAAGCCUGAUGCAGCGACGCCGCGUGAGGGAUGGAGGCCUUCGGGUUGUGAACCUCUUUCGCUCAUGGUCAAGCCGCAACAAUGGUUGUGGUGAGGGUAGUGGGUAAAGAAGCGCCGGCUAACUACGUG
rnacentral:rRNA from 1 species